rnacentral:rRNA from 1 species
UACGGGGGGGGCAAGCGUUGUUCGGAAUUACUGGGCGUAAAGGGCGCGUGGGUGGCCUUCUAAGUUGAACGUGAAAUCCCUGGGCUCAACCCAGGAACUGCGUCCAAGACUGGGAGGCUUGAAUCCGGGAGAGGGAUGCGGAAUUCCAGGUGUAGCGGUGAAAUGCGUAGAUAUCUGGAGGAACACCGGUGGCGAAGGCGGCAUCCUGGACCGGUAUUGACACUGAGGCGCGAAAGCCAGGGGAGCAAACGGG